AAUUACUCGCGCCACUGUCACAUUAGACAGACAAACAAACUAAUUGAGGCAAGGCAGGCGUAAUACGGAUACUGUGCUCUGGAAAUUUCUAGUUACAUUCUAAUUAGUUAAUGUUCGACAUCAUUGUUUAAAAAUACAACCAUCUUAAUUCGGACCUGAUCUAACCUGCGCGGCGCGAGAAGAAAGCGCGUGGGCGCGUUCCCAUAUAAAUGGAUGGGAUGACUGUCUAUCCAGGCAUUACUCAUGAAAGCCUGCGGGAAACUCGACGUGGAUAGCCGUCGGCCGGUUGUGGACACAAGUGCAACAGUAAUUUGUUAUUUGAACAGUGAAAAUGAAGUUUCAAAGCGCGUGUUUACUUUUCGCGAUCGCUUUAUGUUUUGUUGUGAUCUGUGAGGCUUACCCUUUUCGAUCUGGCAACAUAGACUACUUGGAGGCUCUUCGCCGAAUGCAGCAGAUACCCCAAUGGCACUGCAUGAGGUACCGGCGACUGCAGCUCCACGGCCACUGCAGCCGGUGGCUGCUGCUCCGACGGACCUGAUACCCCAAGGUAUUGAAGACAAGAGGAUCUACUAAGGUUAUACGGCUGUAACCCAUUUCUCAUACUAGUUUCAAGUUAGAAUACUUCUUCCGACGUCAUCUAAAAAACUCUAUCGUGCAUUUUUCGUAAAAUUAACUUACCUACUUGUGUCUUAAAAAUCAAGAGAGAUAAAUAAACAUUUAAAGAGAGUUACGUUCGUACCAAAUAGUAGAUUCUUUCUAAAAUUUCACUUUUACAAAGUAUUUCUAUUAGAUUAGGUAACUAUUUUCGGAAUUAAAUUAAUGGGCGGAUUCUUUCUUGUCUAUUUCAACUUGUUAAACUCACCAUUUCAUUAUCGUUCUAAGACUAAAGUGACAUCAGAAUUCUGAUCUACAUUUCAGUUGUUUUAUAAUUAUUUUGUACCUGAUAGUGUAAUGAACCUUCCAUACUACAUUAUACUUUACCUAAAGGUUUUAAAAUAAUAACGUAUUUUCUGACUUUGUAUGUAAAGGGGCUGAAAAACUCAAUAACAUAAGUCUUUUAAAAGCCACACACAAUGUAAGGAUAUCAAGUUAUUUCUUGGUUUUAAAAGGAAUUUCAAGAAUAUUUUAAAUUAAUGUUGAUACAAUGCUUACUUAAAUACCAAAGUUUUUAUAAAUGUAGUUUGAGUAAAAAAUAAAUAAAUAAAUAAAUAAAUAAAUAUUUAAACAUAUUUUAAGUAACAUUACAUAUCUACGUAGAUUUAGUUACAUUACUAAAUUACCUACCAUAAGUUGAAACGAUAGAAUUUGUAAGUACUUAUAACAUCAUCAUCAGUAUUACUGUUAAUAUACGCUUUUAAUUAGAGAUAGACAAUUAUAUUCAUAUAAUAAAUGAUAUUACAUAUUCAUAA